AAAUAAAAAUAUAAGGCACCCAGUACAAUUUGAAUUUUUAGCAUAAGUAUAGCCCAUGAAAUAUUUGGAACAUACUUAUACUAAAAAUUAUUCAUUGUUUAUAUGAAAUUCAAAUUUAACU
rnacentral:miRNA from 1 species